CAUCCAGAGAACUUAGCAGAGAUGCUUUGGUGCCUUCGGGAACUCUGAGACAGGUGCUGCAUGGCUGUCGUCAGCUCGCGUUGUGAAAUGUUGGGUUAAGUCCCGNAACGAGCGCAACCCUUAUCCUUUGUUGCCAGCGGUUCGGCCGGGAACUCAAAGGAGACUGCCGGUGAUAAACCGGAGGAAGGUGGGGAUGACGUCAAGUCAUCAUGGCCCUUACGGCCAGGGCUACACACGUGCUACAAUGGCGCAUACAAAGAGAAGCGACCUCGCGAGAGCAAGCGGACCUCAUAAAGUGCGUCGUAGUCCGGAUUGGAGUCUGCAACUCGACUCCAUGAAGUCGGAAUCGCUAGUAAUCGUAGAUCAGAAUGCUACGGUGAAUACGUUCCCGGGCCUUGUACACACCGCCCGUCACACCAUGGGAGUGGGUUGCAAAAGAAGUAGGUAGCUUAACCUUCGGGAGGGCGCUUACCACUUUGUGAUUCAUGACUGGGGUGAAGUCGUAACAAGGUAAGCGUAGCGAG
rnacentral:rRNA from 1 species